rnacentral:rRNA from 1 species
UGAAGAAUCUUCCGCAAUGGACGAAAGUCUGACGGAGCAACACCGCGUGGUGGAUGAAGGCCUUCGGGUCGUAAACACCUUUUAUGAGGGAAUAAAUUCUGAAGGUACCUCAUGAAUAAGGCGCUGCUAACUACGUGCCAGCAGCAGCGGUAAUACGUAGGCGCCAAGCGUUAUCCGGAAUUAUUGGGCGUAAAGAGUCCGUAGGUGGCAAAGUAAGUUCGGUGUAAAAUUUCAAUGCCUAACAUUGAAAGCGUGCUGAAAACUACUUUGCUAGAGUCUGAGAGAGGCCACUGGAAUUCCUAUUGUAGGGGUAAAAUCCGUAGAUAAUAGGAGGAACACCAAAAGCGAAGGCAGGUGGCUGGCUCAGUACUGACACUCAAGGACGAAAGCGUGGGGAGCAAACAGG